rnacentral:tmRNA from 1 species
GGGGGCGAAAAGGAUUCGACUGGGCGGGCGCGGUUGAAGCAGCGUGCCGGGGUUGAUCGGUUGGCCCCGUUAAAAAGCCGAUUACACAAUGAACUGCCGAGCAUGAUUAUGCUCUCGCUGCCUAAAAAAUAGGCAGCGCUCGCAACCGGGACGCCGAUACCGUCAUUGCGAGCCGCCAUCGGCUGGAAACUCCGGAGGCAAGCCUAAGUCGCCGGGGAAUCGAGAACAAAUUUUGGCUGGCCAAGCGAGGCUUGUCGAUGAGCCUUGUGCGGCGAGAUUCAAUCACCGACUGCGCACGGAGCGGCUUCCACUUAACACGUCGCAGGACGCGGGUUCGAUUCCCGCCGCCUCCACCA